AUUGAACGCUGGCGGUAUGCCUAACACAUGCAAGUCGAACGGCAGCACAGUAAGUUCUUGCUCUUAGGGGGUGCGAGUGGCGGACGGGUGAGGUAUACAUCGGAAUCGACUUUUGCGUUGGGGAUAACGUAGGGAAACUUACGCUGAUACCGCAUACGACCUGCAGGUGAAAGCAGUGGGUCUUCGGACCUUUCGCGAUGGCAUGAGCCGAUGUCGGAUUAGCUAGUUGGCGGGGUAAAGGCCCACCAAGGCGACGAUCCGUAGCUGGUCUGAGAGGAUGAUCAGCCACACUGGGACUGAGACACGGCCCAGACUCCUACGGGAGGCAGCAGUGGGGAAUAUUGGACAAUGGGCGAAAGCCUGAUCCAGCAAUACCGCGUGGGUGAAGAAGGCCUUCGGGUUGUAAAGCACUUUUGUCCGGAAAGAAAAGCAGCACGUUAAUACCCUGCUGUGAUGACGGUACCCAAAGAAUAAGCACCGGCUAACUACGUG
rnacentral:rRNA from 1 species